CUUCCCGCUGCUGAUGGGUGGGUGUGCUCUUCCCGUACCCACCUCCCUGUGGCCAGUCCCCACCCUGUGCCUGGGCUGUGCUUCCCUCCUAUUCAGCAACUGCUGCGUUGUCUCAAGAGGUGAAGUGAUCCAGGAGGUUGAAGUCCAGGCCACCUUGUCUCCCGAGCAGCCUGUCUCCUUCCCUUUCUUCCUGGCAGGCAGGCUUGAUCUUGAUGCUGUGCAGGCCCAGGAUGUGGGGGUUCUGGUGGCCACUGUCCCUCCUGCUGCUGCAGACGCUCGACGGGCCUCCGUUUUAUGUCCAGGCUGCGCUUGUCAACUGGUGUGGAAGUCCAAGUGCGUGUGAUUUUGUGUGUGACUGCUGGGAUUGUUCGGAUGAAAACCAGUGUGGGCCUGGUGGUCGGAGCCUGAA